UACGUAGGGUGCAAGCGUUAAUCGGAAUUACUGGGCGUAAAGCGUGCGCAGGCGGUUUUGUAAGCCGGAUGUGAAAUCCCCGGGCUUAACCUGGGAAUGGCAUUCGGGACUGCACGGCUGGAGUGCGGCAGAGGGGGAUGGAAUUCCGCGUGUAGCAGUGAAAUGCGUAGAUAUGCGGAGGAACACCGAUGGCGAAGGCAAUCCCCUGGGCCUGCACUGACGCUCAUGCACGAAAGCGUGGGGAGCAAACAGG
rnacentral:rRNA from 1 species